GUCCCCACGGUUUUAAGGAAGGGUCAGUUGUCUUGCCCAGGUUCACACAGAUGUGAGCAGGAAUCAGAACCUGAGCCCAUUUCUGUGGCUUUGAAGCCCACGUCCUUUGCAGUCCGCUAUGCUGCAUUCUUGAAAGAAAGUGGAGUUCAGGUGAGGUGACUCUCCAUCUGUUCCUCCCACCCUCUUCCUACAGCCCAGUCUUCCCAGCAGAUCCAAGAGGUUCUGGGGCCUCCUCCUUGGAAGUUUGCAUAUGCAGUUCCCUCUAUCCAGGAGGCAUCCCCAUCACUGUGCUUAGCUUAUCCUAGAAACAAACAACAACCCACUUUGGUAGGUGGUGCCUUUAUGACACUUUGGAUGUCUCUGUGAUGAACCUAGAUCAUUGUGUGUGUCACUUCUGAUCAGGAUAUCUGAUUUCCUGCAGAAAACAGAUGGAAUGCAGAUAUAUUGGUGUUGUUACUCAGCAUCUAUGACUAUAUUUUGUUGAAAUAUUGUCAUGGAUAAUAUUUUUCUGAUAUGUUGAUGAUUGGUGUGUUCUUUCAAAUUUAUUCUUACUACUUCCAUCAAAAGAUGUCAGAUUGGUGCCUCCAAAUGGCAAGUAAGCAUCACAGUGGUUUCAGAAUUUAUAACUAAAAUCCAGUUUGAAGGAACAACGUAAAGUCCAUACUUCCUUUAAGCCUUUCCCCAUGAAAAGUCCUCUUUAUCUUGGC
rnacentral:lncRNA from 10 species